UACGUAGGGUGCAAGCGUUUAAUCGGAAUUACUGGGCGUAAAGCGUGCGCAGGCGGUUUUGUAAGUUUGUCGUGAAAGCCCCGGGCUCAACCUGGGAAUUGCGAUGAAGACUGCAAGGCUUUGAAUCUGGCAGAGGGGGGGUAGAAUUCCACGUGUAGCAGUGAAAUGCGUAGAGAUGAUGGAGGAACACCGAUGGCGAAGGCAGCCCCCUGGGUCAAGAUUGACGCUCAUGCACGAAAGCGUGGGGAGCAAACAGG
rnacentral:rRNA from 1 species